rnacentral:lncRNA from 1 species
CAUUAUUUGCACAGGAGACAUUCAGGAGUAGGUUGUUCAAUUUCCAUGUAGUUGUGUGGUUUUUUGAGGGGACUUUUUGUUGAUGCUGUUGUUGUUGUUGCCUUCUGUUUGUUUGUCUUUCAACAGUCAGGCCCCUUUUCUGUAGGGCUGCUCCAGACCCUGUUCACUUGGAUCCUUCCCACUCUUGGAGGUGUUACCAGUGGAGGUUGCAGAACAGCAAAAAUGGCUACCUCCGACUUUUUCUGGGAGCUCCAUUCCAGAGAGACACUGACCUGAUGCCAGUGGGAACACUCUUUUAUAAGGUGUCUUAUGACCCCCGUUGGGGAUGUCUCAGUAAGGAGGCACAAGAUCAGGGACCUGUUUAAUGAAGCGCUCCGAUUGCCCCUUGGCAGAAGGGAUGAAUUGCACUAGGGGAAAUCCCGUUAAAUCAGACUGCCUGGAUUCCUAAGAGCCAGCAGGGGGAAAGAUUAAGUCCACUGAUCGAUGGAGACUGUGGCCACCCCUUCUCCCAGGGGUUCGGUCCCAGGGAGAUCAAAGUUCUGCCCAUAAACCCCUCGUUGGAGCUGCUAAAAUUCCCACAGGAAGGUCCCGCCUGGUGAGGAGGAAUAGGUCGGUGUCUGAUCCAAAGAGUCAGCCUGGGUCCGGCACGGUCGCUCACGCUUGUAAUCCCAGCAUUUUUGGAGACCGAGGCGGGCGGAUCACUUGAGGACAGGAGAUCAAGACCAGCCAGGCUAACAUGGUGAAACCCCGUCUCUACUAAAAAUACAAAAAAAAUAGCCAG